rnacentral:pre_miRNA from 1 species
AUGAUACUUCCUCCGUUUCGAAUUACUUGUCGUAUGUAUGGAUGUAUCUAGAUGUAUUUUAGUUCUAGAUACAUUCAUUUCUGCGACGAGUAAUUUGGAACGAAGGGACUACAAU